rnacentral:rRNA from 1 species
UGGAGAGUUUGAUCCUGGCUCAGAGCGAACGUUGGCGAUGCGUCUUAAGCAUGCAAGUCGAGCGGGCUUAUUCGGGCAACUGGAUAAGUUAGCGGCGAACUGGUGAGUAACACGUAGGUAAUCUGCCGUAGAGUGGGGGAUAACCCAUGGAAACAUGGACUAAUACCGCAUAUACUCUUGCUACAUAAGUAGAGUAGAGGAAAGGAGCAAUCCGCUUUACGAUGAGCCUGCGGCCUAUUAGUCUGUUGGUGGGGUAACGGCCUACCAAAGCUACGAUAGGUAGCCGACCUGAGAGGGUGACCGGCCACAUUGGGACUGAGAUACGGCCCAGACUCCUACGGGAGGCAGCAGCUGAGAAUCUUCCACAAUGGACGAAAGUCUGAUGGAGCGACAUCGCGUGAGGGAUGAAGGCCUUCGGGUUGUAAACCUCGGAAAUUAUCGAAGAAUGAGUGACAGUAGAUAAUGUAAGCCUCGGCUAACUACGUGCCAGCAGCCGCGGUAA